UUAUGUACAUAUGUAUUUCCUGGGAUUUUGAAUAGGACAGUGGCAGUGGCUUCAGAUGCUUCAAAGCCAACUCCUUUAUUCUCUGAAUGGAUUCAUGGAACAGAUCUGCAGUUUCAGUUCCACCAAAAUCUUACUUAGGUCAAGAAAAGGUCACGUGUGGUUCAGGCUUCUUUGUCAGAAUCCGGAGAAUACUACAUACAGAGACCACCAACACCUAUUUUGGACACUAUCAACUAUCCUAUUCAUAUGAAAAAUCUUUCUCUAAAGGAACUUAAACAACUAGCAGAUGAGCUAAGAUCAGAUACAAUUUUUAAUGUAUCAAAGACUGGUGGUCACCUUGGUUCCAGUCUUGGCAUUGUUGAGCUUACAGUUGCUCUUCAUUAUGUCUUCAAUGCACCCCAAGAUAGAAUACUCUAGGAUGUUGGUCAUCAGGUGGUUAUCUUAUUUUCUGAUUGCUAUGGUUCCAGUCUUGGCGUUGUUGAGCUUACAAUUGCUCUUCAUUAUGUCUUCAAUGCACCCCAAGAUAGAAUACUCUAGGAUGUUGGUCAUCAGGUGGUUAUCUUAUUUUCUGAUUGCUAUGGUAAACUAAUAUUCCUAGAGGCUUCAGUAUUCUUAUUUGAUGGUCUGUUUUGAAUGUUGCAAUCAUAUCCUCACAAAAUCUUGACUGGUAGAAGGGAAAAGAUGUCAACAUUAAGACAAAUAAAUGGACUUGCUGAUUUACUAAGCGGUCGGAGAGUGAAUAUGAUUGCUUUGGGACUAGCCAUAGUUCCACCACCAUCUCAGCAGGCCUAGGGAUGGCUGUUGAAAGAGAUCUGAAAGAAAGAAACAGCAAUGUUAUAGCUGUAAUAGGUGAUGGUGCCAUGACAGCAGGCCAAGCUUAUGAAGCCAUGAAUAAUGUUGGUUACCUGGACUCUGAUAUGAUUGUUAUUUUGAACGACAAUAGACAAGUUUCUUUUCCUACUGCUACUCUAGAUGGGCUAGUUCCUCCUGUUGGAGUUCUAAGUGGUGCUUUGAGUAGGUUGCAGUCUAAUAGGCCUCUCAGCGAACUAAGUGAAGUCGCUAAGGUUUGCAUACUGAUAGAAAGAUUUGAAUAACGGUUUUUCUAAUAAAGAAAUUGAAUUGGGUUUUAUGUGAUUGAAAUUUUUGCAGGGGGUUACUAAGCAGAUUGGUGGACCUAUGCAUGAGCUUGUCUUGAAUAGGUAUUCUCACAGCAUUCAGUACUUUCAUACUUGUUUCUGGAUCAUGUUAUGUCUGUCAUCAAUCAGAUGCCUACUCUCGGAGAUGCCUAUUUGUUAGAAGAUAAUAUUGCAAGAGCAUCUAUUGUUACUCUUACUGCUUUUUUCAGGUAUUGUCUCCAAUUGGAUUGUCUUUUCCCUUUUCAUUCUUGUCAAAUUUGUUGCCUCAUCAUUUUUUCCCAAUUCAAUAGGGGUGGUGGUAAAGUUGGUAAAAAAGUAAUUGAACAAAGUUAUGCUUCUGUUCUUGCAACACUAAUGCUUUAAUUGGGCAGCUGUCAUGGCUUAGCUAGUACCGAUGAACUAGAACCACUGCGGUAAUGUGCUAGAGAACUCACCUUUUUUACUUGGUUAUCAGAAUAUUUUCAAAAAUGUGUUAUUUGUUGUUAGCUAUUUACGGUUACCUCACCUGUUUUCUACCUUCCCUAGUGCACUACUGGUUGUAUUUCAAGCAUUCUGUGAAUGUGUUGGUGAUCUAGAAAUGGAAAAGGUAAGGAUUUUUUAGACUAGCUUCCUGGAGAUCAUCUUAAAUAAUUGACCUUUUUAAAAAUGGUUUUGAUGAUAAGGAUUCUCUCCUACGAUCAAAUUCUUGCACGAGAUGGAGAGCAAAGUGAAAAUGAGAAGUGGAUCAACCUUAUAAGAGAUUUGGCUGGCUCUCUUUCUAUAAAAAAAAACAAAAGAGGUAGGAUGAUCCUAUAUAAACGCCCCUCUUGAUUAAUUCUUCCAUUAUUUGCUAUUUCUAUCUUCUUGUCUCCCUCUGCACAUACCUUUGUUAAGAUUAUAGACUAGAGUUGAAAGACUAACUUUAUACUCCGAACUAACAGAACUUACUGAAUUGAUACUUACUGAAGGAAAAGGAACUUGUUAAAAUGACAAAACUCCCAUGCUUCAAUAUUUUUCUACCCUUUCUUUCCUAUUUGUAUCCUUUUGUCCCAUUUCUUUUUCACCCAACAGCUCAAGAAGAUUGGAAGAGUCCUCCUUCUGCUAGUGUGUGUGUAGAAAUUUAGUUCCUCAAUUUAAUUUGUGUGAGAAAAUAGCAAAUUUCAAUUAGAAUAUUUUCUCAGGUCCCAUCUAUAUGUUUGAUACUGAGCAAAGCACUGGAUCGAUCUUUGAGAUUUCAACGGGAAUCAGCUGCUGUGGCUUUAUCAGAGUAUAUUAAGGUGUUCUACUAUGCUCUAAGUCCAAAUGAUGGUACAGAGUUUAGGAUUCACAUUCAUUCUAAAGCGGAGUAUUUUAUUAACAUGUCAUCCUUGACAUUUGAUGCCACAGUAAGGAGGAUUAAUGAAGAUCGAAUACAAGUUCUUGUAGAUCUUAAUGGUUAUACUAAGGUACAUGUUGAACUUCAUCCAUAUCAAUCCUAAUUUGGUUACUUUUAUGGUUUUCUAGUAUUAUUUUUGUGUACCCAAAGACAAUCUUUCUCUGAAUUAAUAUGCCAGAACUGUCUAUGAGGAUUUGGUUAGCCUCGCUCCACGUUUGUAUUUUGGAGCAAUGAAUGUAUUAUAAAAAAUUUACCUAACUAAGCUACAAACCUGUGAAAAGUUCUCUUGAGG